UACCCGCUGAACUUAAGCAUAUCAAUAAGCGGAGGAAAAGAAACUAACGAGGAUUCCCCUAGUAACUGCGAGUGAAGCGGGAAAAGCUCAAAUUUGAAAUCUGGCGUGCCCUCGGCCGUCCGAGUUGUAGUCUGGAGAAGCGUCUUCCGUGCUGGACCGUGUACAAGUCCCUUGGAACAGGGCGUCAUAGAGGGUGAGAAUCCCGUCUUUGACACGGACUACCAGCGCUCUGUGAUGCGCUCUCAACGAGUCGAGUUGUUUGGGAAUGCAGCUCAAAAUGGGUGGUAAAUUCCAUCUAAAGCUAAAUACAGGCGAGAGACCGAUAGCGAACAAGUACCGUGAGGGAAAGAUGAAAAGCACUUUGGAAAGAGAGUUAAACAGUACGUGAAAUUGCUGAAAGGGAAACGCUUGAAGUCAGUCGCGUCCGCCGGGACUCAGCCUUGCUUCGUUGCUUGGUGCACUUUCCGGUGGACGGGUCAGCAUCGAUUUCGAUCGUCAGAAAAAGUCAAAGGGAAUGUGGCACCUUUCGAGGUGUGUUUAUAGUCCUUUGUCGCAUGUGAUGGUCGGGAUCGAGGACUGCAGCACGCCCCUCGCUGGGCUAUGGGGUUCGCCUCAUACACGU
rnacentral:rRNA from 1 species